rnacentral:rRNA from 1 species
GCCGCGAGGUAGAGCAAAUCUCAAAAAAACAAUCUCAGUUCAGACUGCAGGCUGCAACUCGCCUGCACGAAGUCGGAAUUGCUAGUAAUCGUAGGUCAGCAUACUACGGUGAAUACGUUCCCGGGCCUUGUACACACCGCCCGUCAAACCAUGAGAGUUGGCAACACCCGAAGUCGGUAGUCUAACCGCAAGGAGGACGCCGCCGAAGGUGGGGUUGAUGAUUAGGGUUAAGUCGUAACAAGGUAGC